UGGUCUGAGAGGCUGGAUAUACAAAGAGACAAUGGCAUGACCAUCUGUACAAAUGGAACUAUGGCCCACAACCUGCAGCAGCCAGCCCAGGAAGCCAACCCGUCACCUGCAGCAGCCAGGAUGGAUGCUGGCCUGCCCUCAGUUGUACUCACAUCAUUGGUCUUAUGGGGAAAUUUUAAGACCUCCCACUUGUAAGGUUUUAUAGCCCUCUAUGGAAUAUUGAAGAAAGAGUAAAAUGCAUCCAAAAAAAAAAAAAAACACUAAACUGGAUAAAUUCUAAGGCCUCUUCAGGUCUUAAGAUGGCCAUUUUCUAGGUCCUCUUGCUGCAGCAGUGAAAUCCACAAACACGGACAAGUCAGUCAGUUACGUGCCUUUCAGAGAAAACUUCUGACUUAGGAAUUCCAGCUAUUUGGCCCAACCCAUAUUAGAUUGUGUUAUAAAGACAUGGUAAAUUACAUCACGAAGGGAAGAGCAGAGGAAACAUAAUAUUCCUUCAAGACCCAUCAGCUCAGAUGUUAGCAGAACACCCCUAAGGAGGAAAACAAGAAAUUUUGGGUUUGAACUUGGUACUUCCCAGCAGCCCUGGGAGUGGGGUCAGAAGCCCUGCUGGGGGCCAAAGAACUCUGAGGAUCAAAGAUGUUGAGCAUCACCUUAGAGGCCAAAGAUCAGAACAGUGGAGGUGGCCUUUGAAGCCCAACCUGUCUUUCACCAGAGAGUGAGAACGGCCUCUAUUUCCAGGAAGCUCACUGCAGCAAUAAUCAUGAUGCUCUGAGCCUGACAAGGUGAGAAUUUACUUUCAGCACCUGCAAUAGUUUCCUAUUAAAGUUACAUAUGAAACCCUGCCGUCUUGUACCAACUAAUGUUCACACCAGCGUUCCUAUUUUCAAGAUAAAUUGCAAAAUAAAAACUCUUGUUUUCGUUAGCAAAAGAAAACUUCUUUAGGAGGAUAAAAGGGAGAUGAAGAAACAGAAAACACAUCAGCUCUCCAUCCAGAUUACAGAAAGCAGAAAACAUCCUGAAGUGAAUAACAUAGGAAUCGCUCUUUUUCCCCCCUGAGAUAGCAGGUUACUUAUGAGAAACAAGCUUGAAAUCUCUGCACCUGGACCAGCUUCCAGAGGCUUUUGUCCUGACCAGAUAUUUACUGAAUAACUAGAAGAUGCUAGAUGUUAUUCUAUUCAUUUUAUACCACUCUUCAAAUUACGGAUGUUUCCCCACCGAAACCGACCCUCACAAAAGAAAAACUAUCUGGGGCCUUGGAUCCUCUUUCAAAGGCUCAAGCUGGCUUUGGGGAAGUAAAGGAAACCAGAGAAGAAGAGGCUGAAAGAAUUGGUUUCCACCGUGACCUUUGAACCCUCGGGCGAGUUGUCAGCCUCACUGAGGAUGAGUGUACUCCAUAUCAAGUGAGGUCACUUUACUCGCAAGCUUGUUGUGAGGACUGAAUGAAACCUUUUCUUUUUUCUUGGAGUUUCAGAGCAACGUCCCUGAGCCCAGCCCCACACUGGCUUGAGCCCUGUCGUCGGUCAAGACACGGUGCUUUCUCCCCUCCCCUCUGCACUCCAGCUUACUCUGCAGUCAGGAGGUGGCACCACGAUCCCCUUUAAGACUUUGCCACUUGGGCCAGCUGCGCCCCUGUGAAAUUCCCUGUUUCUAUUGCAGGCCACAAGGACGAGCUGAGAAAUGGCUUCCAGUCACCAUCUAGAUUAGAAAGCCUAUAUUUCAAAUAUAGAUAUAUCAAUUAUGCCUGUAAAAAGACAUUAAAUCCCACAGGGCUGUAAUUCCUAGACUCUACGAAUUUCAUCUUGCACCAAAUUUUAUUAUUUCAUUUAUAAUUCGGAUUCUUCAAAUCUAAGAGUGCCUGGCUCAAAAUUAAAAUACCUACAACUAUGCCAAAACUGGACUCUUUAAUUGCCUUACUGGAACCAGUAGCUGAUUCAAAGCAAAACGAAACAAAAUUCCUCCUUUCUCUGAUUUAGUGAAUCAAUGAUCUAACUGAACUCAUUUUUGGACUGAGUUUGCGGCACUUGCAGCCCUGAGGGACACAUUCCCCCACCACACUGAGCCUGCACUCCCAUCAAUGCAAAUGAACAUUUUGCUUAUUCAGAUUGGGGGGGUGAAGGAAGUCACAAAAGGGUUAAUACAUAUGGCAUUUCAUUGUAAUAUGUACUCACUACUAACUAAAUUAAAAGAGAUGUGAGUUAUUAAAAACUCCAUCUUAAGAAAGUAACAGAAA
ensembl:lncRNA LINC01304 long intergenic non-protein coding RNA 1304